AGUAGUUGGUAAUUGAAGGCUGCGCCCUAGUUUGUGUCCAAUCAGAGUGUAUCUGCCGUGGAAUGAAUAAAGCAGCAAUGCGUAAACAAGCGCUGGAUCCUCCUCCGCUCCUUUCCUAUCAUCUAUUCUGAAACCAGUUCCGUAUUCAGUGCUAGCCUACAUUAAUGUAACAUCGGCGCCCACACCAUACAGCGUAUAUAGAUAUAAUUGUCGGAUAAGAUCACACCAUCUCGACCAUGGAGCCUUGAACUGGAAUACACCCACAGCACCACAGAGAUGAACAUGCAGUACACCUGAUACCUCCCUGGAGGGGAAGCCUGAAUUAAGAUGAAGCGACUGAAAGGGAAAACCCAGAAGUGUGGAGCAUUUCAGAAAGUCCUGUGAACUCUGACCUCCAGCCCCCAUCUGCCAUCAUUCCUUUCCCCCAAAUACACAACACUCCCAUCCAUCAACACUCCUGCUCUGGUCCAAGAUGACCUCACCGAGAAAGCACCUGGUCAAGGAUUUCAACCACUUUAUCACAUGCUACGUGUGUAAAGGAUACCUGAUCAAGCCCACCACGGUGACAGAGUGCCUGCACACCUUUUGUAAAAGCUGCAUCGUCCAACACUUUGAAGACAGCAACGACUGCCCCAAAUGUGGCAUCCAAGUCCAUGAAACCAACCCUCUAGAGAUGUUAAGGUUGGACAACACUUUAGAGGAAAUCAUUUUCAAACUCGUGCCUGGGCUGAGAGAAAAGGAACAACAGCAGGAGAUUGAGUUCUGGAGGAGUCGAAAGUCGAAGGAGAACGGAGAAGAAGAUGGCCCCCGAUCAAAGAGGUCUCGGCUGGAUGCCGAUAAUGAUGAUGGUGGAGAUGGAGACUACCACAGGAGUGACCCUCAGAUAGCCAUCUGUCUGGAUUGUCUACGCAGCAACAGCCUGGUGGAAGAGAACAUUGUCCGGGGCUUAAUGAAGAAAUUUAUACGCUGCUCGACUCGAGUGACAGUCGGAACAAUCAAGAAGUUUCUCAGCUUGAAGUUAAAGCUUCCAAGUUCUUAUGAGCUAGACGUCCUAUGCAACGGGGAGAUCAUGGGAAAAGACCACACCAUGGAGUUCAUCUACAUGACGCGGUGGAGACUUCGCGGUGAAACCAAUAUGUGACAGCUCUGUGAUGCCAAGAAUGAAUUCCUGUCCUCCCCUGGACCAAUUGACCAGGAACUGGGACUACCCAAUGGUACUAGAAUAUCGCCCACGGAUAGACUUUGGUUGACGGAGGGAGACGUGGGACUACUCCUGCACUAACAGCCCAUUGACAGACUACACAAUGAAUGGAUGUGCCUGGCACAAGAGACAAGGACCACACAUCUUCUUAUCAUCUGCAUGCAGGAAUCCGUGAUUGCCUCUAAUCUCAUUCUGUUCUCUUACGUUAUCCUUCAGUUGGUCUGCGUUUCAUUUGGGUUUGAGAACAUGCCUGCGUAUCAUGACGUAUUGAUUCUUAAAAAAGUUCCCGAAAUGUAAUUGACUGAAGAGUGAAGACAUGCCCUUUAAUUCUACAGCACAUUGAAGUGUCCCUAAUAAUACAAGGUGAAAUUACUAGUAGUCUGUUGUUAUGCAACACAACAGAGAUAUUUCAAGACAGGUGUGCGUGCACUGGCAAACGGCUCAUAAUAUUCCACCUUAUCUACGCUGGAUUUAGUGUCUUACAUGGCUCCCUCCCGUACUCCUGUUUUUAACUACGGUAGUGCCUUUCCCCACAUGCCUCUUUCAGUGCAGUACCCUUCGAAAAUUCAAACUGCUUUUCAUAUGAAAUCCCUAAUAGUGAAUUCAACAGCCCCAACAUAUAGCCUACAUACAACUACAAGGAAGCUAUGGAUACCAUACCUACCAUAUCCCUAUCUCAAUAAGCUAUAUUCUUCCAUUCCAUGCCAUUUUGAUGUUAUUACCGCAUAUAAAGCAAUACGAGUACUGUAAGACUAGAUUUGGUAGAAGAAGGUUAGAAGAAGCUGAAUAUCACCUACACUGUCUGAAAUGUGUAGCUGUGUGUUUGUGCACUAUGUAAACGUAUUGGGCAUUAUUGUUGACUUGUACAUAGCAGAGAUUUGUAUAGACUGUUUACUACUAUGCUGUAUGUCCUACUGGAUGGCUUAACAUUAAUUUAUUGUUGUUGCCGUAUAGAAACUGCCCAGAGUGUCGUUACAGGGUCCGAUAACCCUUGCCAUUUGUAUCUAAUGGUGGAUCAGUACACAAGUGCUUUAAAUGCUUUUUCCCUCUUCACAUACAGUGCCUUCAGAAAGUAUUCACACCCCUUGACUUUUUCCAAAUGUUUUUGUGUUACAGCCUGAAUUUAAAAUAGAUUAAAUUGAGAUUUUGUGUCACUGGCCUACACACAAUACCACAUAAUGUCAAAGUGGAAUUAUGUUUUCCCGAGGAAAAAAAAUUCUGAUUAAUAAAAAAUGAAAAGCUGAAAUGUCUUGAGUCCAUAAGUAUUCAACCCCUUUGUUAUGGCAAGCCUAAAUAAAUGAAGGAUUAAAAAUGUGCAUAACAAGACAGAUAAUACGUUGCAUGGACUUUGCAUAGUGUUUAACAUGAUUUUUGAAUGACUACCUCACCUCUGUACCUCACACAUACAAUUAUCUGUAAGGUCCCUCAGUCAAGCAGUGAAUUUCAAACACAGAUUUAACCACAAAGACCAGGGAGGUUUUCCAAUGCCUCGCAAAGAAGGGCACCUAUUUGCAGAUGCGGGGGAAAAAAACAGACAUGGAAUUUCCCUUUGAGAAUGCUGAAGUUAUUAAUUAUACUUUGGAUGGUGUAUCGAUACACCCAUUCACUACAAAGAUCCAGGCAUCCGUUCUAACUCAGUUGCCGAAGAGGAAGGAAACCGCUCAGGGAUUUUACCAUAAGGCCAAUGGUGACUUUAAAACAAUCACAGAGUUCAAUGGCUGAAAACUGAGUUCAAUGGCUGAAAACAUUGUAGUUACUCCACAAUACUGACCUAAAUGACAGAGUGAAAAGAAUACAAAUAUUCCACAACGUGCAUCCUGUUUGCAAUAAGGCACUAAAGUAAAACUGCAAAAAAUGGGGCACAGAAAUGAACUUUACGUCCUAAAUACAGGGCAUUAUGUUUGGGGCAAAUCCAACACAACAAUUCACUGAGUACCACUCUUCAUAUUUUCAAGCAUGAUGGUAGAUGCAUCAUGUUAUAGGUAUGCUUGUCAUUGGCAAGGAAUAGGGAGUAAAAUAAAUGGAAUAGAGCUAAGCACAGGCAAAAUCCUAGAGGAGAACCUCGUACAGUUUGCUUUCCAACAGACACUGGGAGACAAAUGCACCUUUCAGCAGGACAAUAACCUAAAACGCAAGGCCAAAUACACUGGAGUUGCUUACCAAGAUGACAUUGAAUGUUCCUGAGUGGCCUAGUUACAGUUUUGACUUAAAUCGGCUUGAAAAUGGCAAGACAUGAAAAUGGCUGUCUAGGAAUGAUCAACAACCAACUUGGCAGAGCUUGAAGAAUUUAGAAAAGAAUAAUGUGCAAAUUGUAGGUGUGCAAAGCUCUUAGAGAUUUACCCAGAAAGACUCACAGCUGUAAUCACUGCCAAAGGUGAUUGUAACAUGUAGUGACUCAGGGGUUUAAAUACUUAUGUAAACGAGAUAUUUCUGUAUUUAAUUUUCUGUACAUUUGCUAAAAUGUCAAAAAAUAUGUUUUCACUUUGUCAUUAUGGGGUAUUGUAUUUAGAUGGGCGAGAAAAAAUAUCAAUUUUGAAUUCAGGCUGUAACCCAACAUUUGGAAUAAGUCAAGGGGUAUGAAUACUUUCUGAAGGCACUGUAUACCAUUUAUCUUUUUCUCACUCUCAUCGAAACACCAAAGAAUAAGAGCAGAGACAAACAGCAGUGGUUGUAUUUUAUCUGUUACAUUUUAACAGAGACAUAAUAAUUAUAACAUAUUGUAGGCAAACGUUGAGAGUACUGAAGUCUUCUUGGUAGGAAACAAAACGUGUGCAAUUUGCCACUGUAAUAGGACUUUCCAUACAGUAGAUGUCUGUCAAUAGUAAGUUGAUGUUCAUUUGCAGUUAUGGGCGAACCAAUCAAUGGACAGAUUGGACACCACUUUCUGGAAGGGUCUAAAAGUUCAAGUCUUUACAAAUCUCCACAAGUAAAACUUUGAAGCCUACUUAGCGUUCUUGUGUACUUUCCUGUUUCACACAUGUGCUUUUUCCUGUUUGAAAUGGUAUCUCUUAUUUUCCCUAAAAACCCAGAUCUAGUGGUUUUAAAUGUUAGCAAAGUAAAUGUUUAGACCGAAUAAUCCUUGACACGUCUCUGUGCUGCAAUGAACAAUAUGUAUUUUUGUAACAAGAAGCACUUGUAGAUAUUUUAUCUUUAAAAAUGACAUUGUUUGUUGUACAUUUAACAAACUUAAAAUGCUGCCUGGAAUAAUCUAUUCUAUUUUUCAAUGUCAAUGCACCUACAAGCAUUCCUAGAAAGAUUAGAACUGUACAUACGCAAGAGCUGCUCUAUAUGUGACAUAAUAACAAAAAUACAAAACUCCAGAACUCACUGAAUUAACCUGGUGUCAUUUAACUUGGUGUCAAAAGUGUGAUUUAAAAAAGAACGUUUUUAAGUUUCAAACAUUUGGUUUCAAGACUGCUUUUCUUAAUAAAAUGACUGGUCUGCG